rnacentral:rRNA from 1 species
GACGAACGCUGGCGGCGUGCUUAACACAUGCAAGUCGAACGAAGAGCGAUGGAAGCUUGCUUCUAUCAAUCUUAGUGGCGAACGGGUGAGUAACGCGUAAUCAACCUGCCCUUCAGAGGGGGACAACAGUUGGAAACGACUGCUAAUACCGCAUACGAUCUAAACUCGGCAUCGAGGAUAGAUGAAAGGUGGCCUCUACAUGUAAGCUAUCACUGAAGGAGGGGAUUGCGUCUGAUUAGCUAGUUGGAGGGGUAACGGCCCACCAAGGCGAUGAUCAGUAGCCGGUCUGAGAGGAUGAACGGCCACAUUGGGACUGAGACACGGCCCAGACUCCUACGGGAGGCAGCAGUGGGGAAUCUUCCGCAAUGGACGAAAGUCUGACGGAGCAACGCCGCGUGAGUGAUGACGGCCUUCGGGUUGUAAAGCUCUGCUAAUCGGGACGAAAGGCCUUCUUGCGAAUAGUGAGAAGGAUUG